CGCCUCAGUGUCAUCGCAAGCGGUUGCUGUCAAACACACAGGAAAGCCAGCGGUGAGAGUCACAGGUCUCAUCAUGCAGCAGUUAGUCGACAUUCUGAAAUGGUUUGGAGUUGAGGCGAGUGGAUGGUCUGUAUCUGUGUGCCUUUUUCUGCUGUUCCUCAGCCUCCUUUACUGGAAUAGUCUUGGAACGAUGUGGCAUCAAGCACCCAAAGCCCUCUCCAUUUUUUGGGAACCUCAUGAUGUUUCGAGACGGUUUCUUUAAGGCACAAUCUGACCUAAUAAAGAAAUACGGAUGAAUUUGUGGUUAUUAUAUAGGCCGGCGGCCUAUAGUGAUCAUAGCAGAUCCAGAUAUGCUCAGACAGGUGAUGGUGAAGGAAUUCAAUAAGUUUCCCAACAGAAUGACUGUCAGGGGCACGACUAAACCCAUGAGCGACAGUCUGGUCAUGCUGAAGGGCGAACAGUGGAAACGAGUGCGCAGCAUCCUCACACCUACCUUCAGUGCUGCCAAGAUGAAAG